rnacentral:rRNA from 1 species
AUGAACGCUGGCGGUCUGCUUAACACAUGCAAGUCGAACGGACUCUUCGGAGUUAGUGGCGGACGGGUGAGUAACGCGUGAGAAUCUGCCUCUAGAACGGGGACAACAGAGGGAAACUUCUGCUAAUCCCGGAUGAGCCGAAAGGUCAAAGAUUUAUCGUCUAGAGAUGAGCUCGCGUCUGAUUAGCUAGUUGGUAAGGUAAAAGCUUACCAAGGCGACGAUCAGUAGCUGGUCUGAGAGGAUGAUCAGCCACACUGGGACUGAGACACGGCCCAGACUCCUACGGGAGGCAGCAGUGGGGAAUUUUCCGCAAUGGGCGAAAGCCUGACGGAGCAAGACCGCGUGGGGGAGGAAAGCCUUUGGGUUGUAAACCCCUUUUCUCAGGGAAGAAGAAAGUGACGGUACCUGAGGAAUCAGCCUCGGCUAACUCCGUGCCAGCAGCCGCGGUAAUACGGAGGAGGCAAGCGUUAUCCGGAAUGAUUGGGCGUAAAGCGUUCGUAGGUGGCAAUUCAAGUCUGCUGUCAAAGACAGUAGCUCAACUACUGCAAGGCAGUGGAAACUGAAUAGCUAGAGUGCGGUAGGGGCAGAGGGAAUUCCCGGUGUAGCGGUGAAAUGCGUAGAGAUCGGGAAGAACACCGGUGGCGAAAGCGCUCUGCUGGGCCGCAACUGACACUGAGGGACGAAAGCUAGGGGAGCGAAUGGGAUUAGAUACCCCAGUAGUCCUAGCUGUAAACGAUGGAUACUAGGUGUAGCUUGUAUCGACCCGAGCUGUGCCGAAGCUAACGCGUUAAGUAUCCCGCCUGGGGAGUACGCACGCAAGUGUGAAACUCAAAGGAAUUGACGGGGGCCCGCACAAGCGGUGGAGUAUGUGGUUUAAUUCGAUGCAACGCGAAGAACCUUACCAGGGCUUGACAUGUCCGGAACCCCGGUGAAAGCUGGGGGUGCCUUCGGGAGCCGGAACACAGGUGGUGCAUGGCUGUCGUCAGCUCGUGUCGUGAGAUGUUGGGUUAAGUCCCGCAACGAGCGCAACCCUCGUCCUUAGUUGCCAGCAUUAAGUUGGGCACUCUAGGGAGACUGCCGGUGACAAACCGGAGGAAGGUGGGGAUGACGUCAAGUCAGCAUGCCCCUUACGCCCUGGGCUACACACGUACUACAAUGGUCGAGACAAAGGGCAGCAACUCCGCAAGGACAAGCGAAUCUCAUCAAACUCGGCCUCAGUUCAGAUUGCCGGCUGCAACUCGCCGGCAUGAAGGAGGAAUCGCUAGUAAUCGCAGGUCAGCAUACUGCGGUGAAUCCGUUCCCGGGCCUUGCACACACCG